AGCUUUGCGCAGUGGCAGUAUCGUAGCCAAUGAGGUUUAUCCGAGGCGCGAUUAUUGCUAAUUGAAAUAAUACUUAUGACAAUGAUAGUAGAAUAAAAUAUCGUAUAGUUAAAAUUCUGUAGAGAAGCUUUUUC